rnacentral:rRNA from 1 species
AUUGAACGCUGGCGGCAGGCCUAACACAUGCAAGUCGAACGAGUUGCGGCCGGGUGAGUAAUUUCUGGGAAACUGCCUGAUGGAGGGGGAUAACUCCUGGAAACGGUAGCUAAUACCGCAUACCCUCAGAUGUGCCCAGAUGGGAUUAGCUAGGUGGUGGGGUCACGGCUCACCAAGGCGACGAUCCCUAGCGGGUCUGAGAGGAUGACCAGCCACACUGGAACUUAGACACGGUCCAGACUCCUACGGGAGGCAGCAGGUGGGAAUAGUGCACAAUGGGCGCAAGCCUGAUGGAGCCAUGCCGCGUGUAUGAAGAAGGCCUUCGGGUUGUAAAGUACUUUCAGCGGGGAGGCGUUACCCGCAGAAGAAGCCCCGGCUAACUACGUGCCAGCAGCCGCGGUAAUUC